AUGAAACUUACUUCAGUGAAUCCUAUGUUCUAUGACAUGGCAACAGAUCUAGACACUUUCAUGGUUAGACCAGAGAAAUUAAAUAACUUAGCAUCACCAUCACCACUAUCAUCAUCAGUGUCACAUUGCAACAGUCCCAAACAAGGCACAGCUUUUGCUGAUACAACCACCAUGACUCCGACCAACAUUUUCCAAACUACUAAUGACUACAACCACCUUUUGGAUACUUCAGCUUCCGUUUUUCUUCAAAGAUAG